AGGUCAGGCGGGGCUACCCGC
rnacentral:rRNA from 2 species